UCAUGAGAGACUUUUAUCAAAUGCCUUGCUAAAAUUAGAUUCCUUGUGUCUGUAGCAUUCUUCUGAUUGCUCUGUUCAGUUUGGGGUGUCAUAUUUUAAGAGAGAUCUUAAAAAACUGGUGGAGUUCCAGAGGAGGGCAAAUAGGACAGCUGGAGGACUUGAAACAAGGUUGCAUGAAGAACAGUUGAAGGCCCCAGGGAAUAUUUAGUUUAGAUAAGAGAAGACUUCUGGGAGGCAAAGGGGAAAGUGAUAGGUAUUUCUGAAAGGGCUUGGCAGCCCUAUGAGGCUAGUUAGGAAUGACUUGUUUUUAGUAGCCAACAUUGUCUCCUAUUGAUCACCAGCUUCCUUUUCAAACUGUCCAUCAGUCAGUCAAGAAACAUUAAGUGCCUACUAUGUGCCAGGCACUGGAGCUACAAAGAAAAGCUAAAAAACGAAUCUUGUUCUCUAAGAGCUCAUUGACCAGGAGAAGAGACAAUACACAAACAAAUUAUCUACAGGAUAAAUUGGCAAUGAUCAACAGAAUUAAGCAGAAUGGGGAAAGGCUUCCUUUAAUAGCUGGAAUUUUUGCUGGGAGUAGAAGAAAGUUAGGAAAACCAGGAGACAGAGAUGAAAAAGGAAAGUAUUCUAGAAGAGAGCAGAAGGAAGACCAGAAUCACCGACUAGCAAGACAACUGUGAAAGUUCAGGUUGUAUUUAUUCUAUAUUUUAAAAGAAAAACAAAGAUUAUAAAACAUAGAUUUGCUAUUUCAUAGCAAAUUUCAAACCCUCUUUUUCU
rnacentral:lncRNA from 1 species